UACAGAGGGCGCGAGCGUUGUCCGGAAUCACUGGGCGUAAAGGGCGCGUAGGUGGCCACUAUAAGGCCGCGGUGAAAGUUCGGGGCUCAACCCUGAAUCGGCCGCGGCGACUGUAGGGCUUGGGCACUGUAGAGGCAGAUGGAAUUCCGGGUGUAGCGGUGGAAUGCGUAGAGAUCCGGAAGAACACCAGUGGCGAAGGCGGGUCUCUGGGACGGUACUGACGCUGAGACGCGAAAGCGUGGGGAGCGAACAGGAUUAGA
rnacentral:rRNA from 1 species